GCCAGACUCCUACGGGAGGCAGCAGUGGGGAAUAUUGCACAAUGGGGGAAACCCUGAUGCAGCGACGCCGCGUGAGCGAAGAAGUAUUUCGGUAUGUAAAGCUCUAUCAGCAGGGAAGAAAAAAAUGACGGUACCUGAGUAAGAAGCACCGGCUAAAUACGUGCCAGCAGCCGCGGUAAUACGUAUGGUGCAAGCGUUAUCCGGAUUUACUGGGUGUAAAGGGAGCGUAGGCGGCGCGUUAAGUCUGAUGUGAAAACCUGAGGCUCAACCACGGGAGUGCAUUGGAAACUGGCGGGCUGGAGUGCCGGAGAGGUAAGCGGAAUUCCUAGUGUAGCGGUGAAAUGCGUAGAUAUUAGGAGGAACACCAGUGGCGAAGGCGGCUUACUGGACUGUAACUGACGUUGAGGCUCGAAAGCGUGGGGAGCAAACAGGAUUAGAUACCCGAGUAA
rnacentral:rRNA from 1 species